AUUGAACGCUGGCGGCAGGCCUAACACAUGCAAGUCGAACGAGUGGCGGACGGGGGAGUAAUGUCUGGGAAACUGCCUGAUGGAGGGGGAUAAAAAAUGGGAAAGGUAGCGAUUACAGCAUACCCUAUUAUGUACCCACAGGGGAUGAGCUAGUAGGUGGGGUAAAGGCUCACCUAGGCGACGAUCCCUAGCUGGUCUGAGAGGAUGAACAGACACACUGGAACUGAGACACGGUCCAGACUCCUACGGGAGGCAGCAGUGGGGAAUAUUGCACAAUGGGGGCAAGCCUGAUGCAGCCAUGCCGCGUGUAUGAAGAAGGCCUUCGGGUUGUAAAGUACUUUCAGCGGGGAGGCGUUACUCGCAGAAGAAGCACCGGCUAACUCCGUGCCAGCAGCCGCGGUAAUUC
rnacentral:rRNA from 1 species